rnacentral:rRNA from 1 species
UUUAAAGAUAGCGUAACAGCUCACUGGUCAAGUUUCCUUGCGCCGAAAACAUACCGGGGCUAAAUGACGUACCGAAGCUGAGGGUUUGAUCCUUUGAGGAUCAAGCGGUAGCGGAGCAUUUCCAAUGCGCUGAAGUCGUACCGUGAGGUGCGGUGGAGCGUUGGGAAGAGAGAAUGUUGGUAUGAGUAGCAGAAAGGCAUGUGAGAACCAUGCCCACCGGAAGUCCAAGGUUUCCACAGCAACGAAAAUCGACUGUGGGUUAGUCAGGAGCUAAGGCGAGGCAGAAAUGCGUAGUCGAUGCACAGCUGGUCAAUAUUCCAGCACCACGAAACGGUUCCGAUGGAGUGACGUUUGUUGAACCUUCCCGCGUCCUAUGGCUAUGACGUUGGGGAAUGCUCGUGGUUUGGUAGGGAAAUCCGCCAAGCAAUACACGGGUGUUCAUCUCAAGUGCUGAGCAAUCAGCAUAAGGGGAAAGCAACACGAACCAAGAAAAGCCUCUAGGGUUAACACUAUGCUGCCCGUACCGUAAACCGACACAGGUGGGUGAGUGCGAAAACACUCAGGCGUACGAGAGAAGUAUCCUUCAGGAACUAGGCAAAACAAUAGCCGUAACUUCGGGAUAAGGCUUGGUUUCUCCCGGGAGGGAGAGACCCGCAGCGUCAGAUGUCAAGCGACUGUUUAUCAAAAACACAGGCCUCUGCUAAAUCGCAAGAUGAAGUAUAGGGGCUGAUGCCUGGCCAGUGUCCGAACGUUAAAGGAGGGGGUUAAUCGCAAGAUGAAGCCUCUGACUGAAGCGCGGAUGAACGCCGGCCGUAACUAUAACGGUCCUAAGGUAGCGAAAUUCCUUGUCGGGUGAGUUCCGACCUGCACGAAUGGCAUAACGACUUGACAACUGUCUUAAGGAUACACUCGGCGAAAUUGCGAGGGGAGUGAAGAUGCUCUCUAUGCACAGUUAGACGAAAAGACCCCGUGAAGCUUUACUACUGCUUGCCAUUGGGUUGAUGUUUCACAUGUUCAGAAUAGGUGGGAGCCUUCGGGCACCAGUGAGAUACCACCCUUGUGUCACGUCAAUUCUAACCGGACGCCCUGAAUCGGGUGGCUGGAACAGUGGCUGGUAGGUAGUUUACCUGGGGCGGGUGCCUCCCAAAAAGUAACGGAGGCGUUUACAAAGGUUGGCUUAGCCCGGAUGGAAAUCGGGCAGGACGUGCAAGCGCACAAGCCAGCUUAACUGCGAGACUGACACGUCAAGCAGAUACGAAAGUAGAAGCUAGUGAUCCGACCGUACGACAUAGGACGGCGGAAGCUCAACGGAUAAAAGCUACUCCGGGGAUAACAGGCUAGUCUGGUCCAAGCGUCCACAGCGACGACCAGGUUCGGCACCUCGAUGUCGGCUCAUCGCAUCCUGGGGGUGAAGAAGCUCCCAAGGGUUUGGCUGUUCGCCAAUUAAAGCGGUACGCGAGCUGGGUUCAGAACGUCGUGAGACAGUUCGGUCUCCUAUCUACUGUGCACGUCGAAAACUGAUGAGACUCGUUCCUAGUACGAGAGGACCGGAACGAAUGUACCUCUGGUGUACCAGUUGUCCUGCCAAGGGCACCGCUGGGUAGCUAAGUACAGCUCGGAUAAGCGCUGAAAGCAUCUAAGCGCGAAGCCGACUCAAAGAUGAGUUUUCAUAGACACCUCAGAGACUAUGAGGUUGAUAGGUGGCAGGUGUAAGCGUGGCAACACGUUCAGCCGAGCCAUACUAAUAUGUCAUUC